GAAAUAAUUUUCUGCAGCAGGCUGUUGCGCAGUGGCUGCACACAGAGUAAGACACACAGCGCAGGGGUGUGUCCAUUUGCCUAACCUAUAAAAAGAUUAACUGGAAAGAUAGAAUGACAGUAGAGCAAACCCUUGGAAGAGACAAGGUCAAGAAUCACUAGUACUUCGACUGAACCUCUAGCCGACGACCAUGAAGAAGUGGCAAGUAUUUGCAGUCCUCAUGACGGCCCUUCUCCUCGUGCAGAUGUUUGCUGUUACAGAAGGGCAUGCGCGUCGCCGGCGUUCUCGGCGGGGUAUUAAAAUCCUGUAUGAUGAUGAUGAAAAGUCUCAGAAUGAAGCCAGAUAUUUAGAGCGAUUAUUGGAGGAGGAGGACCUUGGAGAAUUCGAGUAAAAUACCUUGAUGUGGAGGUGUUAGUCACAGGAUUAGCUAGCCAAUGACACAGAACCUUAGUUAAAGUAUGAAGUCUCUAGUAAAACGGAUUAAUGCACGGCUUGAACUGUAAUAAUUUACAUUUGCACGUGACACAAAUAAGGAACAUCAAACCGAAGAAAAUUGCCCGCAAUGUAUGCAGUGACAUGCUAGUAUUUGCAAACUAAUUCGAGUUGAGAAGUGCUAUUUGACUGAUAUUUACCACCAUAUUUAAGAGGUUUAAACUACUAUGUACUGGAGACCACCUUAAUGGUGACAUAAACUACACAAAGAAUUCUCGGUGUACAAGUAGUACAGAAAAGUGUACGGAAUUAACCAGAGACAUAUCUUUCAGUGUGAAUAUCAAGUGAUGAUUAAUCUGUAGCCCUCUUAGAGGGUAAGUUGAAACCCUACUGCUAUACUAGACUUUUCAUCAUAUGAAAAAUAAAUAUUCUUA